AUGAAAUAAUACUCAUGAUUAUGUAAUAAUAAUAAUAAUAAAAUCAGACUGCUCUUCAAUGAACAUUAUUGACUACCCAAUGAAUUCUUGCUAUUAUCUCUUAGGUUAUUCCUAAGAACAAAUAUGAGAUGAGACAUCUGAAGAAGAUUAAUGUGAAACCACUUAAGGCAGUUUGGACCUUCUUGAAGGAGAUAAGGAUAGUGGUGUAAAAGUGACAAGUGCCAGAAAUAAAAGUAUAAGAGGCAGAGGCCCUAAUAAGGACAGCGAAGAGAAGGUGUCAUUUAUAACAAGCAUAUGCUGAUUGUUGGCACGUUAAAUACAUAUAAAAAAAUGAGAUGAGACAUUAAAAAAUCCAAGUAAAGAGGCAUCGAGGAAUAAAGAAGUCAGAUGAAGAAGUCCUUGCAAGCAAACGAUCUCGCCUUCCAAUCAUCACGUCAUCCAAGGAUUGUUCUUCAAAUGAUUCGUCGGAAGACUUUCGUCAUCUGUCCUGGAAUGGAGUCUGACACUGAGAGUGAAAAUGAUGAAUAGCCAAACGAAAAUUAUAUUAACACAACAAUAAUGACUGGUCGAAUCACCACACAAAACAUUCCACAGAAACUGUCGGUAUUGAUAAGAAAACAUAUUCGCGUGCGCAAAACCAAAAA